rnacentral:rRNA from 1 species
UCUGGCGGAACUGCCGGUGGACGAAACCGGAGGAAGGUGGGGAUGACGUCAAGUCAUCAUGGCCCCUAUGUCCAGGGCUACACACGUGCUACAAUGGGCGAUACAGAGUGACGCGAAGCCGCGAGGUGGAGCAAAUCGCAGAAAAUCGCUCUCAGUUCGGAUCGGAGUCUGAAACCCGACUCCAUGAAGGUGGAAUCGCUAGUAAUCGCGCAUCAGCAUGGCGCGGUGAAUACGUUCCCGGGCCUU